UCCGGUUUGUCACCGGCAGUCCCCUUAGAGUUCCCACCAUCACGUGCUGGCAACUAAGGGCAAGGGUUGCGCUCGUUACGGGACUUAACCCAACAUCUCACGACACGAGCUGACGACAGCCAUGCAGCACCUGUCUCACGGUUCCCGAAGGCACCCUCGCAUCUCUGCAAGGUCCCGUGGAUGUCAAGGCCUGGUAAGGUUUUUCGCGUUGCGUCGAAUUAAACCACAUACUCCACCGCUUGUGCGGGCCCCCGUCAAUUCAUUUGAGUUUUAACCUUGCGGCCGUACUCCCCAGGCGGAGAACUUAUCGCGUUAGCUGCGCCACUAAAUCCUCUAAGGAAUCCAACGGCUAGUUCUCAUCGUUUACGGCGUGGACUAC
rnacentral:misc_RNA from 1 species